UACGGCGUCGGGCCGAUUCCGCCGCUCGGCGUCGCUGGCGCCGCUUGGGCCACCGUCAUCGUGGACCUGGUGGUGCUGGCCCUCCUGCUGUGG
rnacentral:tRNA from 1 species